AUUGAACGCUGGCGGCAGGCCUAACACAUGCAAGUCGAGCGAGCGGCGGACGGGUGAGUAAUGUCUGGGAAACUGCCUGAUGGCGGGGGAUAACUACUGGAAACGGUCGCUAAUACCGCAUACCAUCAGAUGUGCCCAGAUGGGAGUAGCUAGUAGGUGGGGUAACGGCUCACCUAGGCGACGACCCCUAGCUGGUCUGAGAGGAUGACCAGCAACAGUGGAACUGGGACACGGUCCAGACUCCUACGGGAGGCAGCAGUGGGGAAUAUUGGCCAAUGGGCGAGAGCCUGAUGCAGCCAUGCCGCGUGUGUGAAGCAGGCCUUCGGGUUGUGAAGCACUUUCAGCGGGGGGGCGUUACCCGCAGAAGAAGCACCGGCUAACUCCGUGCCAGCAGCCGCGGUAAUUC
rnacentral:rRNA from 1 species